rnacentral:sRNA from 1 species
GUCAGAGGUGCGAGGGGAGGUAGGGCAGGCGGGGCUGGGGUGUGAGGCCAGGUGUCACGACUGUUGUGUCUCCCCCACAGUGCCCUGGAGUCCAUCCAGAGUGCCCGUGCUGCCCAGGCCCCGCACUGGAAGAGCCUCCAGCUGCAAGGUCAGUGUGGCCGGGUGCUAGGCUGCAGGAUCCCACCUCGGGCUCCCGUGCAGUGGCUAUGACUCCGAACUGUCCCUAGAUGUGACCCCUGUGCUGAUGAGCCCCAGCAUUCUCUCCCCAGAGGAGAGGCCUCCACCUCUGCUGCCUGGGGGUCCAGUGUGUAAGGGAGCUGCAUCUGCACCGAGCUCCCUCCUGGACCAGCCGUGCCUCUGCCCUGCACCCUCUGUCCGCACCGCUGUUGCCCUGACAGCACCAGAUAUCACAUUGGUCCUGCCCCCUGACGUCAUCCAACAGGAAGGGUCAGCCCUAAGGGAGGAGACAGAAGCCUGGGCCAGGUGAACAGUGGUAUAGCAGCCACUCCAGCCUCUGCUGCAGCAGCCACCCUGGAUGUGGCUAUUCGGAGAGGCCUGUCUCAUGGAGCCCAGAGGUAAGCCUCACUUGGCCAUCCUGAGCCUCUGACGGCAGGACCUGUGGGCACCCCUAUCCUUGCUGGCCAAGCAGAGAGAGUUCUGGGAAUGGACUCUGGACAACGUGAACACCUGUCCUGAGGCCAUCUCUUCCUCCAGGCUGCUGUGUGUGGCCCUGGGACAGCUGGACCGGCCUCCGGACCUCGCCCAUGACGGGAGGAGUCUGUGGCUGAACAUCAGGGGCAAGGAGGCGGCUGCCCUAUCCAUGUUCCAUGUCUCCACGCCACUGCCAGCGAUGACCGGUGGUUUCCUGAGCUGCAUCUUGGGCUUGGUGCUGCCCCUGGCCUACAGCUUCCAGCCUGACCUGGUGCUGGUGGCGCUGGGGCCUGGCCAUGGCCUGCAGGGCCGC